rnacentral:rRNA from 1 species
CCUACGGGUGGCUGCAGUGGGGAAUUUUGCACAAUGGGGGAAACCCUGAUGCAGCAACGCCGCGUGAGUGAGGAAGUAUUUCGGUAUGUAAAGCUCUGUCAGCAGGGACUAGAAAAGAAGGUACCUAAAAAAGAAGCCCCGGCUAACUACGUGCCAGCAGCCGCGGUAAUACGGAGGGGGCAAGCGUUAUCCGGAUUUACUGGGCGUAAAGGGAGCGUAGACGGAAAGGGAAGUCAGAAGUGAAAGCCCAAAGCUCAACCAUGGGACGGCUCUUGAAACUGGCAAACUAGAGUGCGGGAGAGGUAAGGGGAAUUCCUAGUGUAGCGGUGAAAUGCGUAGAUAUUAGGAGGAACACCAGUGGCGAAGGCGUUUUACUGGACCGAAACUGACGUUGAGGAUCGAAAGCGUGGGGAGCAAACAGGAUUAGAUACCCCAGUAGUC